rnacentral:rRNA from 1 species
UACGUAGGCAGCAAGCGUUGUUCGGAGUUACUGGGCGUAAAGAGUGCGUAGGCGGCUUCGCAAGUUUGGUGUGAAAUCUCCCGGCUUAACUGGGAGGGUGCGCCGAAAACUGCAAGGCUCGAGUGUGGGAGAGGUAAGCGGAAUUCCUGGUGUAGCGGUGAAAUGCGUAGAUAUCAGGAGGAACACCAAUAGCGAAGGCAGCUCGCUGGGACGGUACUGACGCUAAGGCGCGAAAGCGUGGGGAGCGAACAGG